rnacentral:rRNA from 1 species
GACGAACGCUGGCGGCGUGCUUAACACAUGCAAGUCGAACGGAAAGGCCCUGCUUUUGUGGGGUGCUCGAGUGGCGAACGGGUGAGUAACACGUGAGUAACCUUCCCUUGACUUUGGGAUAACUUCAGGAAACUGGGGCUAAUACCGGAUAGGAGCUCCUGCUGCAUGGUGGGGGUUGGAAAGUUUCGGCGGUUGGGGAUGGACUCGCGGCUUAUCAGCUUGUUGGUGGGGUAGUGACUUACCAAGGCUUUGACGGGUAGCCGGCCUGAGAGGGUGACCGGCCACAUUGGGACUGAGAUACGGCCCAGACUCGUACGGGAGGCAAGAGUGGGGAAUAUUGCACAAUGGGCGGAAGCCUGAUGCAGCAACGCCGCGUGCGGGAUGACGGCCUUCGGGUUGUGAACCGCUUUCGCCUGUGACGAAGCGUGAGUGACGGUAAUGGGUAAAGAAGCACCGGCUAACUACGUG